AUAGUUCUAAUAUUCAAAAUAAAAAUAUUUUGGCAGAUGGCUCGUACCCGCCUAACCGCUCGCAAGUCCACCGGAGGUCGUGUCCCAAGGCACCAGUUGGCAUCAAGGGAUCCGCCACCCUCCGACAGCAGCGACAGCAGCACUGAUAACUCCAGCGAUGGAAACGGGAGUGACACUAGCGGAGGUCCUCCUUCGCCAAGGACCUACAGGCUUAUGAAGAAUGAUCUGCGCUUGAUGCUCAC
rnacentral:lncRNA from 1 species